UACGUAGGGUGCAAGUGUUAAUCGGAAUUACUGGGCGUAAAGCGUGCGCAGGCGGUUUUGUAAGUCUGUCGUGAAAUCCCCGGGCUCAACCUGGGAAUGGCGAUGGAGACUGCAAGGCUAGAGUUUGGCAGAGGGGGGUAGAAUUCCACGUGUAGCAGUGAAAUGCGUAGAGAUGUGGAGGAACACCGAUGGCGAAGGCAGCCCCCUGGGUCAAGAUUGACGCUCAUGCACGAAAGCGUGGGGAGCAAACAGG
rnacentral:rRNA from 1 species